UUGAACGCUGGCGGCAUGCCUAAUACAUGCAAGUCGAACGGUAACAGGACGCUGUGAUCCCUUCGGGGUGAACUUGUCGCUGACGAGUGGCGGACGGGUGAGUAAUGCUUGGGAAUCUGCCCAGUAGUGGGGGACAACACGGGGAAACUCGUGCUAAUACCGCAUACGUCCUACGGGAGAAAGUGGGGGAUCUUCGGACCUCACGCUAUUGGAUGAGCCCAAGUCGGAUUAGCUUGUUGGUAGGGUAACGGCCUACCAAGGCGACGAUCCGUAGCUGGUCUGAGAGGACGAUCAGCCACACUGGGACUGAGACACGGCCCAGACUCCUACGGGAGGCAGCAGUAGGGAAUAUUGGACAAUGGGGGCAAGCCUGAUCCAGCAAUGCCGCGUGUGUGAAGAAGGCCUGCGGGUUGUAAAGCACUUUCAGUAGAGAAGAAAAGCCUAGGGAUAAUACCCCUGAGUCUUGACGUAACCUACAGAAGAAGCACCGGCUAACUCCGUG
rnacentral:rRNA from 1 species